UUUUUGAAAAUAAUUUAAAGUCUAAUCUGCCCACUGAUAAAUUAUUAAAGGGCUGCAGUAUUUUGACUGUACAAAGGUAGCAUAAUCAUUAGUCUCUUAAUUGGUGACUUGUAUGAAAGAUUGGAUGAAAUAUAAACUGUCUCUAAAUAAUUUGUAAAAUUUAAUUUUUUAGUUAAAAAGCUAAAAUAUAAUUAAAAGACGAGAAGACCCUAUAGAGUUUUAUAAUUUAAUUAAUUAUUUUUAAUAUGUAAAUUUUAAAUUUAAAAUUAAUUAAAUUAUUUUGUUGGGGUGAUAGAAAAAUUAAAUUAACUUUUUUUUAUAUUUAACAUUAAUAUAUGAUUAUAUGAUCCAUUUUUAGUGAUUAAAAGAAAAAAUUACCUUAGGGAUAACAGCGUAAUUUUUUUUUUUAGUUCAAAUAGGAAAAAAAGUUUGCGACCUCGAUGUUGGAUUAAGAUAAAAUUUAAAUGCAAAAGUUUAAAAUUUUGAUCUGUUCGAUCAUUAAAAUCUUA
rnacentral:rRNA from 1 species